GGCCUAUUGAUAAUAAUUUUAGGUCGGACCUGCCCAAUGAUGAAAAUUUAAUGGCUGCGGUAUAUUGACCGUGCAAAGGUAGCAUAAUCAUUAGUUUUUUAAUUGAAAGCUUGUAUGAAAGGUUUGAUGAGAAAAUAGCUGUCUCUGUUAAAAUUUAUUUGAAUUUUAUUUUUAAGUUAAAAAGCUUAAAUACUAAUAGAAGACGAGAAGACCCUAUAGAGUUUUAUAGUUAUUUUGAAAGAUAAGAUUUUAGUAUUUUUUAGUCUUAAGAAGUAAUUAUUUGAUUGGGGUGAUAGAAAAAUUUAAUAAACUUUUUUUUUAUAAUUACAUUAAUUUAUGAAUAUUUGAUCCUUAUUUAAAGAUUAAAAGAUAAAAUUACCUUAGGGAUAACAGCGUAAUUUUUUUUUAGAGUUCAAAUUAAAAAAAAAGAUUGCGACCUCGAUGUUGGAUUAAAAAAAAUUAUUGGUGUAGAAGCUAAUAAAUUAGGUCUGUUCGACCUUUAAAAUUUUACAUGAUCUGAGUUUAAACCGGCGUAAG
rnacentral:rRNA from 1 species